UACGGGAGGCAGCAGUGGGGAAUAUUGCACAAUGGGCGCAAGCCUGAUGCAGCCAUGCCGCGUGUAUGAAGAAGGCCUUCGGGUUGUAAAGUACUUUCAGUCGUGAGGAAGGUGUUAAGGUUAAUAACCUUAGCAAUUGACGUUAGCGACAGAAGAAGCACCGGCUAACUCCGUGCCAGCAGCCGCGGUAAUACGGAGGGUGCGAGCGUUAAUCGGAAUUACUGGGCGUAAAGGGCACGCAGGCGGUUAAUUAAGUUGGAUGUGAAAUCCCCGGGCUUAACCUGGGAAUGGCAUUCAAGACUGGUUAGCUAGAGUCUUGUAGAGGGGGUUAGAAUUCCAUGUGUAGCGGUGAAAUGCGUAGAGAUGUGGAGGAAUACCGGUGGCGAAGGCGGCCCCUGGACAAAGGACUGACGCUCAUGUGCGAAAGCGUGGGGAGCGAAACAGGGAUUAGAUACC
rnacentral:rRNA from 1 species